GGGAGCCCGGUGAAACCGAGGCACCACAGCUGGGUGAUCUGAACACCCCUGUACUUUGGCAUCACUGUUUUGCUUUAAAACUAUAGUGUUGUGUCCUGACUGGCCAACAGGUAGCAUAGUGUUGUUACUCACCACCUGCACUCUGUCAGACACAAACAAGUGUCGUAGUUCCUACAGUUAGUGCUAAUAGCUGUUAAUGCCUGUCUGCUACUGAGGAAGAGGGAUUUUCUCACCAUUGCUCUGCUAUUGAUUGAUUGGCUGUAAGGCCCAAUCAUCUAAAAUUUAUUUUUUUUAGUAUAUUUAAAGAGGUUUCUAAAUAAACCUUCUGUGUGAAUCUGGUGUUGGGAUGUUGGCAGGACUGCCAGCCUCUUCGCAGGUGGAAGAGUUGACAGGAGUGAAUGAACACGUGUUCUGUUGGAGGCAUUUGGAAAAAGCCAGCUUCCUGACUUAAAAAAAGAAAGUAUCUACUUUUUUCCUAACAAAGUUGUCCCUUUCUGACUUACUAACAUGUCUCAGCCCUCCCCAUUAAUUGGCCUUGUACCCUUUUGCUGUGGGCACAUGCAGUGCUCAUCAGACAGAUGCUUUUUUUAACUUUAUAAUUAAAAUAUAAACUAAAAAUGCAAGUGAUUUGAUCUAAAAGUGAUUUUACUCCAGUCACGCUCCAUAAGUGAUUGGAAUAAAAGGUUUUAUAGAAAUUUUAACAUUUACAAUAACAGAGACACCCUGGUCCCUAUCUUAAACUAUAGAAUCUUGGGGAGGUGCUGAUCUUAGAACUGCAUUUCAAGCUCACCCGUUCAGUCCGACAGGCAGAGACCAGAGCAUCUGCACGUGCUGACUAUGUGGUGAUACAGGUGAUGGUCUGACGAGCUGGUGAAAUGGAUAUUGAAGUGUGGGAGUUCAGGCCCUCUUACACUUGAAUUAAGGGAAUCUUCAGCCGUAAUAGUAAUGGGGUUUAAAAUUAGGUGAGUUGUAUGACAUAAAAUAAAUACCUGGUAAUCGGUCAUGGUUAAUGAAUUAGCUAGAAUGUAUGUGAUUUUAAACUUAAAUUCCAUGUACAUUUUGUCAAAGGCAGCUGUGUAAAAGCUAUUUGUUGGGCAAUUUUUUGGACACAACUUUGACAAGAAAAUUUGCAGCACCAUUGGAGGAGCUCAGGCAAACAGUCCAGUUACAUUUGAGUCUCUUUCCACAAACUAUUUUCAACCCUUGCCUGUUACCCUGUUGUCUGCACCUUGCUCAUUCUUAUUUCUUGAAGCAAACAUACUGUUAAGAUCAGCAUGUCCAUUGCAAACAGCAGUGGAUACAUUUUUCACAUGGUGAACAUACUCUGGUACAACCUAGACCUUCUCCAGAUCGUUAGCAGUUACAUUGCACAGCCAGCUAGCAUUUAAAGCUCUACAGGUGCACAGAGCAUUUGUUAGUCUAGAAAGUUGUAGUGUGUAUAGCUAGCUUUUAGACAUGGUAACAUCACAGCUUUCAAAUGCAGCUGGACAAUCAUGACUUAUACCAAAAAAACCCCCAAAUAACCCAUGCUAAUGGCCUUUCAGCGGUGCAGGUGUAAUCCCCAUGUGUUUGGGCUGUGUCGGCACCAUGGAUGCGAGUCCUGGCCCUUGCUGCCAGGCCCAAGCGGAGGCAGCACUGGUGUGAUUUCAUUCGGGGUGCUCAGGAGGAAGACCCACAGCCUGUGGCAGCCAGGAUCCACUGCUCAGCAUCGCGUGGGGUUGUGUGCACAAGGAGCGGGUACUACCCCUGUGGUGAAGUUGGACGCUGCGCAGCAGGGACCUGUGAGAUUCGCCUACAAAACUGACUCCUCUUUACUGUUCAGCUUGAGCACUCUGCUUCAUAAACACUCACCCCCAUAACUGGACAAACUUAUUUUUAAAGUAUGUAAGAAUAUUUUUUUAGCUAGGUUUUUUUUUUGUUAAAACCACACUAACUACUGUAUUUUUACCUUUUAUAUGUAAAGCUUGGCAAUAGCUCUCAAUGUAUAAUUUAUUUGUUUUUUUUUUUAUAAAACAAAGUGCACCCUCUUGCUUCUGUUUCACAACAGUAGUGAUGUAUGAACUGCUUUAGGCACUGCACUAAGAUCUGUAUUGAAACUGUUCAUGGGAACAAGAAACUGUGAUCUGUAGUCCAUUCUACCAAGUCUUGAAAUGUUUCUACUGUAGUUUUGUCUCAAAUAUACCACAUCAGUGCAAAA
ensembl:lncRNA